rnacentral:rRNA from 1 species
AAUCUUGCGCAAUGGUCGAAAGCCUGACGCAGCCAUGCCUCGUGAAUUAUGAAGGUCUUAGGUUUGUAAAAUUCUUUCACCGGGGACGAUAAUGCCCGUACCCGGAGAAGAAGCCCCGGCUAACUUCGUGCCAGCAGCCGCGGUAAUACGAAGGGGGCUAGCGUUGCGCGGAAUUACUGGGCGUAAAGGGCGCGUAGGCGGAUCGUUAAGUCAGGGGUGAAAUCCCGGGGCUCAACCUCGGAACUGCCCUUGAUACUGGCGAUCUUGAGUAUGAGAGAGGUAUGUGGAACUCCGAGUAUAGAGGUGAAAUUCGUAGAUAUUCGGAAGAACACCAGUGGCGAAGGCGACAUACUGGCUCAUUACUGACGCUGAGGCGCGAAAGCGUGGGGAGCAAACA